rnacentral:rRNA from 1 species
UAAGGGCGAGUGAAGCGGCACAGCUCAAAUUUGAAAUCUGGCUCCUUCGGGGUCCGAAUUGUAAUUUGCAGAGAGUGCUUCGGGCGAGACCUCGGUCUAAGUCCAUUGGAACAUGGUGUCAUAGAGGGUGAGAAUCCCGUAUGCGACCGUGGCUCGAGCCCAUGUGAAGCCUCUUCGACGAGUCGAGUUGUUUGGGAAUGCAGCUCUAAAUGGGUGGUAAAUUUCAUCUAAAGCUAAAUACUGGCUGGAGACCGAUAGCGCACAAGUAGAGUGAUCGAAAGAUGAAAAGCACUUUGGAAAGAGAGUCAAACAGUACGUGAAAUUGUUGAAAGGGAAGCGCUUGCAACCAGACCUGCCCGUAGGCGAUCAGCCGCUGUUCUCAGCGGUGUACUCGCUCUGCGAUCAGGCCAGCAUCGGUUUCGGCGGUCGGAUAAAGGCCUUGGGAAUGUAGCUUCCCUUCGGGGGAGUCUUAUAGCCCUCGGUGUAAUGCGGCCAGCCGGGACCGAGGACCGCGCUUCGGCUAGGAUGCUGGCGUAAUGGUUGUAAGCGACCCGUCUUGAAACACGGACCAAGGAGUCUAACAUCUAUACUAGUGUUUGGGUGUCAAACCCAUACGCGGAAUGAAAGUGAACGGAGGUGAGAACCCUUAAGGGCGCAUCAUCGACCGAUCCAGAUGUCUUCGGAUGGAUUUGAGUAUGAGCAUAGCUGUUGGGACCCGAAAGAUGGUGAACUAUGCCUGAAUAGGGUGAAGCCAGAGGAAACUCUGGUGGAGGCUCGCAGCGGUUCUGACGUGCAAAUCGAUCGUCAAAUUUGGGUAUAGGGGCGAAAGACUAAUC